UACUACAGCUCCAUCUAUACCACAACGGUCCUUUUCAGGACCACACAUCUUUGCAUUUUACAUCCUGGUUUCCUGUGUUUACCGACAACAGAGACCAGUUACUCAUAUUUAUUUUAAAUCACAUUUAAAUACAUUAUUAUUUUGAGCAGUAUAGUUUAGUAAAGUAGUUAGUGUGUAUUAGUGUUAGUUUACAUUGUAUUAAGGCACUUUCUAGUGCAUUAGGUUAGGUUAGGUUAUCUUAGGUUAGGUUAGGUUAGGUUAGAUUAGAUUAAAACCUUUUUAAUUGCCACACAUAGUACAGUCUCAAAUACUUACACAGUUAAGUUGUCCUGUUUAACUACUGUCUCCAGCUUUCCCCAGUGUUUUUCAGGUAACUGGCCCUACCAACUUAUAGGAGACCUUUUCAGCAUCAUCUGACUGUUUGAGUCCACAACAGAAGAAUUCAGGAGACAGAUUGCAAACUUGCAAUUUCCUGCCUUGGUUCCCUCUACUCAUUCUACAACUACAGACAAACUACACACCAGGUAAGUAACAAGUGUUAAGUAAUUGGAAGGAUUUCUGCUUGUUUAUAAGAUGCCGAGAAGAAACAAGAGAGCCCAGGCUGCGCGUGUCCGCUGGACCAAGUUGGACCUUGCUGACACCCAGGCGAGCUCACUUCGGACCAGUGAAGAGGCUGCAGGAGACCAGUCAAGGAAGAUGGACUUGGCAGAUCUUCAGACGAGCCAGCCUAUUACCACUCAACAGAUGCGUGGUCUGGAACAUCAAGAGCCUAGCAAGACCAAACCUGAGACUGAAAAUUCUGCCAGAGAACAUGCGCAAGUCACUGCUGAUGCACCCAGGGUCUGCCAAGCCCCUCUGUGACAGCCUGGAUCAGCCACACCCGCACUUCAUCCAUACAGCUCAGCUUGUCCAUGUACGAAGACGCCUUGCAGGCACAAAAAUGAAGAAGAUGACACGCUCAAAACCAAGAAGACCAAUGGGCAGCUGUCAUGAGGACUCCAGCCACCGGAGCGCUGAGCAUCUAAAUAGGACAUGAAGACACAGGGCACGACAGCCGAGGAGACUGAAGAUGGCCAGGGAGAACAACGCCGGCUCUACUGAGGAAACAAAACAGCAACAAAUGAAGAUGUUCAGAGUCUAGAUGCCGCAGAAGACUCAAGAAGAAGACAACCAAGGAGAGCAACAAGAGCUCCAGUGAGGACUUUGUAAUUUUGUGGCACAGAGUUCAGUUGGUCCUGUGCAUGGUCAUAGUAAGUUGCCGUUGUUCAGUCCCCAGUUAGGCUUAAGAGCGGGUUCCCUUUGGAACUCGUUUGGGGGGGGGUUGUUAGUGUGGUGCGAACGUGGUUAGAGCAGUUGUCUCGGGAGCACAUCCGAAGCUGCAGGUGGGUCGCCAUUUUAUGGUUGCUUUACCGGGCUAUCGGGCUACAGUGCAUAAGUACCCGCCACAAGUAGCGCCUGAAGACUAGGGAGGAGCUUAGUUAGAUUCUGGUUUGGCAGCUAGGAGGACAGGGCUUCAGUGAUAUUUUGGCUGUGCAUUUGGGCUGAUUGAGCAUGUUUUGGUGUCACUGAGAGAACUUAGAUUUGUGUCUUGUUAAUCUUUGUGUUGCUCUUCUACUGUAAAUAAAUUUUAUUCCUCACUAAACAUUUGGUGUUUCAGCAGCCAUUAUUUCUUUUAUUUACUUUUUCUUGGAUCCAUUUUGUAGAGGUAAAUGUUUUUUUGGUAAACUUGUGUUACAUCUUGUGUUGUAUCAUAAUCUAAGUAUCAAGACUACUACUAAGUUAAUGGCAUUCACGUACUGAUA